AAACGCUUGAAGUCAGUCGUGUCUGCCGGGACUCAGCCUUGCUUCUGCUUGGUGUAUUUUCUGGUUGGAUGGGCCAACAUCAAUUUUGACCGUUGGAGAAAGGCUUUGGGAAUGUGGCACCUUCGGGUGUGUUAUAGCCCUUUGUCGUAUACGGCGGUUGGGAUUGAGGACUGCAGCACGCCUUUAUGGCCGGGGUUCGCCCACGUACGUGCUUAGGAUGUUGGCAUAAUGGCUUUAAGCGA
rnacentral:rRNA from 1 species